ACUGUUCAGCUUUAAACAGAUUGAAAUGAUCCACCAGGGAAGCGAGAACAAACCCCAGGGCUGUGUGCAGGCAGCAUUCAGAGCUGGCCCUGAGCUGCUGUGGAAGGGCGAGCUGCGCCGGCCAACAUGUCCGAGCUGAAGGGCUGACAACUGGGAAAACAGAGCCAUGGAGAAGGCCGGCAUUCCAGGGGCCAGCGGUGAUUUCCUAUCAGACGGUCCUCAGCAUGGAAUUAUUGAUAGCUGUGAUGCCGAAAGGGAGCCAGUUGGCUAAUGCCUGGAAGGGCUGAACCCCCGCUCACGGAUGAUCUGCUGCAAGAUAUCUUAACUAGGUUUGUGACAGCUGCCCUCCGUGGCUCCCUCAGGGAUAACAGAACAGUACUUUCUGGAAGCAGAUUCAUGAGGCAGAUCAGAGGAGUUCAGCUGUUGCUGUCUGUAAAAGAAUUUAUAAUUUGUACCUUGCUGCACCCAACUUGCUUUUGGGCAUCCUCACUUGGGUGCUUGAAGUUGGUAUGCCCUCUGUCCAGACAAGCAUCUUCUUGGGCUAUUAAUUAUGUAAUUAAAGGUCUGAACCUUCUCAUUUAAGAUGAUAAUAAAAUGUUUAAAGC
rnacentral:lncRNA from 1 species